CUUAACACAUUAUUCUUCAGAUUUUUUUCUUAUAUUUCAUAUAAAAAAAUUCACUUGAAUGUUAAUAACUCAUUUUUUAACAUUUUAGUUAUUCGAAUAAGAAAAUAAGAGAGAAGAACUAAAGGUGAAAAAUGGAUUUCCUCAAACCAAACCAUUUUCGAAUAAGAUAAAAAACAAAAGAGAACAAAUGUGGAUUUUCCUCAAAAACUGAAAAUUGUUGAAUUUUUUGAAGUUCUGGUAUUCCUUAUCCCUCGGAAGGAAUGAAAACCCCUGAAGCUUCCAUCAGUUCCAAAGCUCUGGCGGUCUGAAAUUUUCCAAUAUCUCUCCUAACUUUAGUGUAGAGAGGAUCUUCAUCUACUUUAGCCAUAGCGACGAUAAGAGCACGAGGCUCCAUAUUUAAAGAAGAAGAAAACCGAGGGAUAACGAAAAAAGGUAUGUGGUAUUCUAUUACAAAACAUUUAUAAGAUAACAAAAGUAAGAAUUAAAAACACUAAUUUCUC